ACAUGUAUUACAUUUAUUAUGAUGAUACUCGAUGCUUUAACAAAUAGACCCCCUCCCCAAAUUGGCUUAAGACAAUAAAAGUCCUUUCCUUUCUCAGAUUAAAAACCCAGUGUGGAUGUUCCUGCUUGGUAGGUAACUUUCCUCCAUAUGGUGAUUCAGGAACCCAGGAUCUUUUCGUCUUGUGGUUCUGGUUCUGUCAUGUCCUAGGAUCUGAGUCCUCUGCUUCUAGCUAGCAGAAGGGAAAAGAGGGGAGAAAAGCCAUACUUCCUAAUCACCUCUACUGGGACAUGCAUCACUUAUCCUCAUAUUCUAUUUUGAGAAUCAGGUACUUGGCCCAAAAAGGAAGGAGAUGUAGUCCAUAGCUUGUCUUACCAGAACUAAGUUCCAAAGCACCUCAAGGAAAUACGUCCAGCUAGCCAAGAGGUCUUUCUGCUUUUCCCUCUCUCCAGCCGCUUGCUGAGGUAUUCUGUCUUCUUGAACCACAGGACAGACAGUUCACAGGGAGAAACACUGAAAUGGAACACAGGGUUGUAAUUCAGAAGUUGAUCGUUUUGCCACUUACUGGGGGUAUUUCCUCAUGAAUUCACGUGACUUUAACUUUCUUUUAUUCAGUAAUAAGAUUGUUUCCCCCUCCCUCCAUCUCACAGUUACCUCGAGAGUCUUAGAACUGACAAUGAAAGAAACUCUAAAUUGUCUAAAGUACCAAGCAGAUGUCACUCUGACUCUGCUCUUUCCAGAUCACAGGCUUUAUGUGCCAGUGGCCUCUGUUUUAGACUGCCUGAGUUCACAUCUAGGCUCCUACUCACUAAAAUUGUGACCUUGAACAAGGUCAUGCUUCUGCUUUCUCAUCUGUAAAAUAAGAAGCGGAAGGGCACCUACAUGGCCCUUGGAACAAUGACCAGAACUUAGAAAAUACUUCAGGAUUUCCCUGGUGGAUCUGCAGGCUAUGACCCACUGUUGUCACUGCUGUGGCUCUGGUUGCUGCUGUGACGUGGGUUUGAUCCCUGGUCCUGGAACUUCCACCUGCCAUGGGCGUGGCCAAAAAGAACACCUUCCAUAAAGUUAGGAUAUGAUUCAGAAAGGACUCAAGUGGCUACCCAUUGACUGUGUAUGAGCUUUGAGGAUGCUGAAGAAUGGACAAGAUCUAGUUCUCACCUUUGGGGGUCUUCACAGACAGAGGAAGGGUGGGCACUGAGAUAAACAAGUGUUAUGAUGGAGAUAACAUCCAUUCCUAAUCCCCUGCUCUGUCCUUUUCCCCUUCCACUAUUUCCCUGCUCUUCCUAGACCAAUUUCCCUGAUGACUGAGUCUACUUUCGAGACUUCAGCUAUCAACAGUGCACCAACAAAACAACUAAGACUCACAGCCCAGCACUCUAUCCUCACUGCAGGAUAUCCCCAGUGAUAUCCUGAUUCCUUUCCCCUGCUCCAGAACCCAUAUCUCUUUCAACCAAUCCCUCAACCUAAUCAACGACUUAACUAUGACAGCUCUAUCAGAGAAACAUUAUGUCCCACUUUCAACCCCUAUCACAUCUACCACAUUCAUCUUGACGAUGGCGGGAGCUUCCUAGGUGUCUCUGGGCCUCUGGUCUCAACCUUCCUACCCACCACUUAUUCCACAUUCAGCCACUUGAGUUCUUCUAAGGCUCAUAUCUGUUCACAAUACUGGCUCUGGUAAACCUUCAGUGGUUUCCCAUUAGUGAUUCAACAGCAUCUUCUUAGGCCAACUUCUUAGGAUGCUUAACUCAAAUCUCAGCCUCCUUUCUACUUUUAUUCGUGCUUCUCAGACCUCAGCAAAAAAGAAAUCAAUGUUCCUUUCCAGAAUCCAACGUUUCUACUCCUCUCCAUUUGUGCCUGUUGAUCUUGUUAUCUCAAGUGUGCUAUCUGCUACCUCUCCAUUCUUAACUUUCUUUUCCAUCCUUCAAUGUC
ensembl:lncRNA